rnacentral:rRNA from 1 species
UCAGGCCUAACACAUGCAAGUCGAACGGCAGCACGGGGGCAACCCUGGUGGCGAGUGGCGAACGGGUGAGUAAUACAUCGGAACGUGCCCAGUCGUGGGGGAUAACGUAGCGAAAGCUACGCUAAUACCGCAUACGAUCUACGGAUGAAAGCGGGGGAUCGCAAGACCUCGCGCGAUUGGAGCGGCCGAUGGCAGAUUAGGUAGUUGGUGGGGUAAAGGCCUACCAAGCCGACGAUCUGUAGCUGGUCUGAGAGGACGACCAGCCACACUGGGACUGAGACACGGCCCAGACUCCUACGGGAGGCAGCAGUGGGGAAUUUUGGACAAUGGGCGCAAGCCUGAUCCAAACGUUCCGCGUGCAGGAUGAAGGCCCUCGGGUGUACAUUACGGGGUACGGAACGAAACGGUCCUGGUUAAUACCCGGGGCUAAUGAC